rnacentral:rRNA from 1 species
GACGAACGCUGGCGGCGUGCUUAACACAUGCAAGUCGAACGGAAAGGCCCUGCUUUUGUGGGGUGCUCGAGUGGCGAACGGGUGAGUAACACGUGAGUAACCUGCCCUUGACUUUGGGAUAACUUCAGGAAACUGGGGCUAAUACCGGAUAGGAGCUCCUGCUGCAUGGUGGGGGUUGGAAAGUUUCGGCGGUUGGGGAUGGACUCGCGGCUUAUCAGCUUGUUGGUGGGGUAGUGGCUUACCAAGGCUUUGACGGGUAGCCGGCCUGAGAGGGUGACCGGCCACAUUGGGACUGAGAUACGGCCCAGACUCCUACGGGAGGCAGCAGUGGGGAAUAUUGCACAAUGGGCGGAAGCCUGAUGCAGCAACGCCGCGUGCGGGAUGACGGCCUUCGGGUUGUAACCGCUUUCGCCUGUGACGAAGCGUGAGUGACGGUAAUGGGUAAAGAAGCACCGGCUAACUACGUG